AGGCCGAAUGAUGAAUUUGGAUUAAUAUUUUCUCACGACGGUCGUCUGAGAUUCUCUCUUUGAUGCAAUGAUCCGAUGAUU